CCCUCUUAGGGGCCAAGAUUACCACCCCUGUGGAGAUUCGAGGGACUGGGGGGUUCUUUAUUUCCAUCUAGAGGAGCCUGGGCUAUAAUAAAUAAACCCCGCCCUAACUCACCUUUUCUUGCUAAUUCAGACAAUAUACCGCCAUCUUCAGCUUGACUAAAAAGGUAUUAAAGGAAGCAUUAGAAUCAAAAAUAAAAACGUUUGGGGUAGGGGCAAUCAAGGGGAGGGAAAGAAAUGGCAUUCUUUUUCUUUUAAAAGAACAUUACUAUUGCCUUUAUGAAACUGACGGAUUAGGGAGGAUUAAUUAAUUGAUUAAAAAUAGAGAGCUUAAUUGAGUCCCGGAAUGAAGUACGCACACCCCGCCCCCCUACCUA
rnacentral:rRNA from 1 species